UCAAGUUAUUAAGGGUGCAGGGCGGAUGCCUUGGCACUAGGAGCCGAUGAAGGACGUGAUAAGCUGCGAUAAGCUUCGGGGAGUUGCACGUAAACUUUGAUCCGAAGAUUUCCGAAUGAGGAAACUCACUUAGAGUAAUGUCUAAGUAUCAUUAAGUGAAUACAUAGCUUAAUGAGGGGAACUCAGGGAACUGAAACAUCUAAGUACCUGAAGGAAGAGAAAGAAAUUCGAUUCCGUAAGUAGCGGCGAGCGAACGCGGAUUAGCCCAAACCAAUAAAGUUUUCUUUAUUGGGGUUGCGGACAUAUCAUAACGAAGAGGUAUCGUAAUUGAAGAGGUUUGGAAAGACCCACCACAGAAGGUAAUAGUCCUGUAUGUUAAACGAGAAGACUUUAGAUAUGAUCCAGAGUACCACGGGACACGUGAAACCCUGUGGGAAGCAGGAGGGACCACCCUCCAAGGCUAAAUACUACCUAGUGACCGAUAGCGUAUAGUACCGUGAGGGAAAGGUGAAAAGAACCCCGGGAGGGGAGUGAAAUAGAACCUGAAACCCUGCACUUACAAGCUGUGGAAGCACAUUUCUUGUGUGACCGCGUACUUUUUGUAGAACGGGCCAACGAGUUACGUUAAGUAGCAAGGUUAAGCACUUAAGGUGUGGAGCCGUAGCGAAAGCGAGUUUUAACUGAGCGUUCAGUUACUUGACGUAGACCCGAAACCGGGCGACCUACCCAUGAGCAGGAUGAAGCGAAAGUAAAAUUUCGUGGAGGUCCGAACCCACGAGCGUUGAAAAGCUCGGGGAUGACUUGUGGGUAGCGGUGAAAUUCCAAUCGAGCCCGGAGAUAGCUGGUUCUCCCCGAAAUAGCUUUAGGGCUAGCCUCAAGGUGAGAGAUACGGAGGUAGAGCACUGAAUGUCCUAGGGGGUAUUGCACCUACCGAAGACUAUCAAACUCCGAAUGCCGUCAUCUUAUACUUGGGAGUCAGACUGUGGGUGAUAAGAUUCAUAGUCGAAAGGGCAACAGCCCAGAUCGUCAGCUAAGGUCCCUAAAUGUAAGUUAAGUGGUAAAGGAUGUGGGAUUGCACAGACAACCAGGAUGUUGGCUUAGAAGCAGCCACUCAUUCAAAGAGUGCGUAAUAGCUCACUGGUCGAGUGAUCCUGCGCCGAAGAUUUCCGGGGCUAAAACUUACUACCGAAGCUACGGCAUCAGUAAUGAUGGGUAGGGGAGCUUCCCAUACGGGUUGAAGCAUGACCGUAAGGACAUGUGGACAGUAUGGGAGUGAGAAUGUUGGCAUGAGUAGCGAGAUGUGGGUGAGAAUCCCACAGGCCGUAAACCCAAGGUUUCCAGGGGAAGGUUCGUCCGCCCUGGGUUAGUCGGGACCUAAGCUGAGGCCGAAAGGCGUAGGUGAUGGACAACAGGUUGAUAUUCCUGUACUACCGAUAACCGUUUGAGAGAAGGGAUGACACAGUAGGAUAAGCUAAGCACACUGUUGGUUAUGUGUGCCCAAGCAUUGAGGCAGUCAAAGUAGGCAAAUCCGCUUUGAUAAUGCUGGGAUGUGAUGGGGAGCGAAAUUUAGUAGCGAAGUAGCUGAUUUCACACUGUCAAGAAAAGUCUCUAUCGAGGUUAAAGGUACCCGUACCGCAAACCGACACAGGUGGGUGAGGAGAGUAUCCUAAGGCCAGCGAGAGAACUGUUGUUAAGGAACUCGGCAAAAUGACCCCGUAACUUAGGGAUAAGGGGUGCCACCAUCAGGUGGCCGCAGAGAAUAGGCCCAAGCGACUGUUUACCAAAAACAUAGGUUUCUGCUAAGUCGCAAGACGAUGUAUAGGAGCUGACGCCUGCCCGGUGCUGGAAGGUUAAGGGGAUCUGUUAGAGCAAUCGAAGCAGUGAACUUAAGCCCCAGUAAACGGCGGCCGUAACUAUAACGGUCCUAAGGUAGCGAAAUUCCUUGUCGGGUAAGUUCCGACCCGCACGAAAGGCGUAACGAUUUGGGCACUGUCUCAACAACAGACUCGGUGAAAUUGUAAUUCCGGUGAAGAUGCCGGAUACCUGCGACAGGACGGAAAGACCCCAUGGAGCUUUACUGUAGCUUGACAUUGGGUCUUGGUACUACAUGUACAGGAUAGGUGGGAGGCUUUGAAACCAGGACGCCAGUUUUGGCGGAGCCAUCCUUGGGAUACCACCCUUGUAGUACUGGGACUCUAACCAUAGGCCAUGAAUCUGGUCUUGGGACACUGUCAGGUGGGCAGUUUGACUGGGGCGGUCGCCUCCCAAAAGGUAACGGAGGCGCUCAAAGGUUCUCUCAGUACGGUCGGAAAUCGUACGUAGAGUGUAAAGGCAAAAGAGAGCUUGAUUGCAAGACAUACAGGUCGAGCAAGGACGAAAGUCGGACUUAGUGAUCCGGUGGUUCCGCAUGGAAGGGCCAUCGCUCAACGGAUAAAAGCUACCCUGGGGAUAACAGGCUUAUCUCCCCCAAGAGUCCACAUCGACGGGGAGGUUUGGCACCUCGAUGUCGGCUCAUCACAUCCUGGGGCUGUAGUAGGUCCCAAGGGUUGGGCUGUUCGCCCAUUAAAGUGGUACGCGAGCUGGGUUCAGAACGUCGUGAGACAGUUCGGUCCCUAUCCGUCGCAGGCGUAGGAAAUUUGAGAAGACCUGUCCUUAGUACGAGAGGACCGGGAUGGACGUACCUCUGGUGUACCAGUUGUCCUGCCAAGGGCAUGGCUGGGUAGCUAUGUACGGAAUGGAUAAGCGCUGAAAGCAUCUAAGCGCGAAGCCAACUUCAAGAUAAGAUUUCCCACCGCAAGGGUAAGACCCCAGAAAGACUAUCUGGUUGAUAGGUCGAAGGUGUAAGUGCAGCAAUGUAUUUAGCUUAUCGAUACUAAUAGGUCGAGGACUUGACCAA
rnacentral:rRNA from 1 species